rnacentral:rRNA from 1 species
AACGAACGCUGGCGGCGCGUUUUAAGCAUGCAAGUCGAACGGUAGAGAAACUUCGGUUUCUUGAGAGUGGCGAACGGGUGAGUAACACGUAGAUGAUCUGCCUUGAAGUUGGGGAUAGCCUAUAGAAAUAUGGGAUAAUACCGAAUAAUCUCUUACCACUAUGGUGGUUUGAUGAAAGGGGCUUCGGCCUCGCUUUAAGAUGAGUCUGCGGUCUAUUAGCUAGUUGGUAGGGUAAGAGCCUACCAAGGCGACGAUAGAUAGCCGGCCUGAGAGGGUGACCGGCCACAUUGGGACUGAGACACGGCCCAAACUCCUACGGGAGGCAGCAGCUAAGAAUCUUCCGCAAUGGGCGAAAGCCUGACGGAGCGACGCCGCGUGGACGAAGAAUGCCGAGAGGUUGUAAAGUCCUUUUAUAUGCGAAGAAUAAUGCCUGUAGGUAAUGACAGGCAGAUGACGUUAGCUUAUGAAUAAGCUCCGGCCAAUUACGUGCCAGCAGCCGCGGUAACACGUAA